rnacentral:rRNA from 1 species
UGUCUCCGUGUGCCGCUCCCAAUCAACCCGCGUUUGCCCCAGCCUCCUAUCGCACGGAAACGGAGUCCUGCUGGGGUCUCCUUAACUGGGGGUUCCAGCGCUUCCGCGCACAACGUGCGCUUACGGACCGUCCGUGGACGUUACUGUGAACAAAACAGCGUGUUCAAAGCAAGUGGCUUGCCCGCCCUGCAUGUUAAAGCAUGGAAUAACAAGGCAUCGACCACUCGGCGGUGCUUUUGUUGGUCUUUCCCUCCCGGUGGGAAUGCGCAGGCGUGCACACUGCCGGCCUUCUGGCCGGUCUGGGUGCCGUCUCUUCGAGAUCAAUAGGGGCAAACGGGGAGAUAUCUAUUGUGGGGAGAGCGGUGAAAUGCGAUGACCCCCAUAAGAGGAACUUCAGCGAAAGCAGUUCUCAAGACUGCCUUCGUUAAUCAAGAACGAGACUGUGGGGAUCAAAGAUGAUCAGAUACCGUCGUAGUCCACUAGCGUAAACGAUGCCGACUCAUCAUUGGGGG